rnacentral:rRNA from 1 species
UACGUAGGGGGCGAGCGUUGUCCGGAGUUACUGGGCGUAAAGGGCAUGCAGGCGGUCCGACACGUUUUGUGUGACAGCGGGUGGCUUAACUACCCGAGGAUGCGAAAGACGGUUGGACUUGAGGACUCGAGAGGGACACGGAAUUCCGGGUGGAGUGGUGAAAUGCGUAGAGAUCCGGAGGAACACCGAAGGCGAAGGCAGUGUCCUGGCGAGUGACUGACGCUGAGGUGCGAAAGCGUGGGAGCGAACAGG